ACGCUGAUACACCGGUUCUCGUACGAUAACCGAAGUUAAGCAACGUCGUGCCUUGUCAGUAUCUAGACGGGUGACCACUUGUGAAUACCAGGUGCUAUAA